AGAGGAAGUAAAAGUCGUAACAAGGUUUCCGUAGGUGAACCUGCGGAAGGAUCAUUACUGAGUUGUUGACAUGAGCUGUUGCUGGUCCUCAAAACAAGGGGGCAUGUGCACGCUCUGUUCACACAUCCACUCACACCUGUGCACCCACCGUAGUUCUAUGGUCUGGAGGACUCGUCGUCCUCUUCCCGUGGUUCUACGUCUUUACACACACACCGUAGUGAAGUCUUAUGGAAUGUGCACCGCGUUUAACGCAAUACAAUACAACUUUCAGCAACGGAUCUCUUGGCUCUCGCAUCGAUGAAGAACGCAGCGAAAUGCGAUAAGUAAUGUGAAUUGCAGAAUUCAGUGAAUCAUCGAAUCUUUGAACGCACCUUGCGCCUCUUGGCUAUUCCGAGGGGCAUGCCUGUUUGAGUAUCAUGAACACCUCAACUCUCACGGUUUGCCCGUGAUGAGCUUGGACUUCUGGAGGUUUUGCUGGCCUGCGGUCGGCUCCUCUCAAAUCGAUCAGCUUACCAGUGUUUGGUGGCGUCAUGGGUGUGAUAACUAUCUACGCUUGUGGCCGUCUGCCAGGUAACCUUCRGCGAUGGAGGUUYGCYGGGGCUUACAAAUGUCUCUCCCCAGCGAAGACAGCUUUUUGAACGUUCGAUCUCAAAUCAGGUAGGACUACCCGCUGAACUUAAGCAUAUCA
rnacentral:rRNA from 1 species